rnacentral:rRNA from 1 species
AGGAUUCCCCUAGUAAUGGCGAAUGAAGCGGGAACAGCUCAAAUUUGAAAUCUGCGUCGCUUGCGACGCCGAAUUGUAGUUUCGAGAAGCACUUUCUAGGCGGGUCCGGCGCCGUCCAAGUUGCUUGGAACAGCACGUCAUAGAGGGUGACAACCCCGUCUGUGGCGGAACCGGCCGCUCACGAUGUGCUUUCGACGAGUCGGGUUGUUUGGGAAUGCAGCCCAAAACGGGUGGUAAACUCCAUCUAAAGCUAAAUAUUGGCACGAGACCGAUAGCGAACAAGUACCGUGAGGGAAAGAUGAAAAGCACUUUGAAAAGAGAGUUAAAAAGUACGUGAAACCGUUGAAAGGGAAACGGAUGGGGUUAGCAAUGCGCCGUGCGAGAUUCAGCCGGGUGUUGUGUUGGGCGUGCGGUUUGCGGAUCUGAAUGGACUGCGGCCGUGCGGAUCGAUGCUUCCACCGUCGCACUUCUCGCCGGUGCGCGCCAACGUCGGUUGGCUCUGGGUCUCAAAGUCGCCAGCAAGGUAGGUUCAGGCCUUCGGGUCAGAAUUGUUAUAGGCUGGUGUCGUAUGGCCCGGGGUCGACCGAGGUGCCGCGGCGUAUGCCUCCUUCGGGUUGGCUAGGGUCCCGUCCUCUUCGCUGGUAGUCGAAUGCGGUGGACUGCGUGCAGUGCGCUGCGACUGCUGCCGGUGGCUUGGAUGGUGACUUGGUACUAUGCGCCCAGGACGUUGGCGGUCACAUGGCCUCAUUCGACCCGUCUUGAAACACGGACCAAGGAGUCUAACAUGUGCGCGAGUCUUUGAGUGAAGGAAACUCGCAGGCGCAAUGAAAGUGAAGGCGGCCUGGCCGUCGAGGUGAGAGCUUGUCCUCCGGGGCGAGUGCAUCAUCGACCGACCUAUUCUGCUCUCAGGAAGGUUUGAGUAAGAGCGCAUCUGUUGGGGGCGGGUGCGGCAACGCAAACGAACCCGGAGACGCCGGCGGGAGCCCUGGGAAGAGUUCUCUUUUCUUUUUAACGGACUUUCACCCUGAAAUCAGCUUGCCUGGAGAUAGGGUUCGAUGUCCGGUAAAGCACCACACUUCUUGUGGUGUCCGGUGCGCUCCCGACGGUCCUUGAAAAUCCGGGGGAGACAGUGAUUUUCGUGUCCGGUCGUACUCAUAACCGCAGCAGGUCUCCAAGGUGAGCAGCCUCUGGUUGAUAGAAC